CCUACGAGUGGCAGCAGUGAGGAAUAUUGGUCAAUGGGGGAAACCCUGAUGCAGCGACGCCGCGUGGGCGAAGAAGUAUUUCGGUAUGUAAAGACCUAUCAGCAGGGAAGAAGAAAUGACGGUACCUGAAUAAGAAGCACCGGCUAAAUACGUGCCAGCAGCCGCGGUAAUACGUAUGGGGCAAGCGGUAUACGGAUUUACUGGGUGUAAAGGGAGCGCAGGCGGCACGGCAAGCCUGAUGUGAAAGCCCGCGGCCCAACCGCGGGACUGCCUUGGGAACUACCGGGCUGGAGUGCCGGUGAGGUAGGCGGAAUUCCUAGUGUAGCGGUGAAAUGCGUAGAUAUUAGGAGGAACACCAGUGGCGAAGGCGGCCUACUGGACGGUGACUGACGCUGAGGCUCGAAAGCGUGGGGAGCAAACAGGAUUAGAUACCCUUGUAGUC
rnacentral:rRNA from 1 species